rnacentral:rRNA from 1 species
UACGUAGGGUGCGAGCGUUGUCCGGAAUUAUUGGGCGUAAAGCGCACGUAGGCGGCUUCUUAAGUCAGGGGUGAAAUCCUGGAGCUCAACUCCAGAACUGCCUUUGAUACUGAGGAGCUUGAGUCCGGGAGAGGUGAGUGGAACUGCGAGUGUAGAGGUGAAAUUCGUAGAUAUUCGCAAGAACACCAGUGGCGAAGGCGGCUCACUGGCCCGGUACUGACGCUGAGGUGCGAAAGCGUGGGGAGCAAACAGG